rnacentral:rRNA from 1 species
GAUAAACGCUGGCGGCGUGCCUAAUACAUGCAAGUCGAGCGAACGGACGAGAAGCUUGCUUCUCUGAUGUUAGCGGCGGACGGGUGAGUAACACGUGGAUAACCUACCUAUAAGACUGGGAUAACUUCGGGAAACCGGAGCUAAUACCGGAUAAUAUUUUGAACCGCAUGGUUCAAAAGUGAAAGACGGUCUUGCUGUCACUUAUAGAUGGAUCCGCGCUGCAUUAGCUAGUUGGUAAGGUAACGGCUUACCAAGGCAACGAUGCAUAGCCGACCUGAGAGGGUGAUCGGCCACACUGGAACUGAGACACGGCCCAGACUCCUACGGGAGGCAGCAGUAGGGAAUCUUCCGCAAUGGGCGAAAGCCUGACGGAGCAACGCCGCGUGAGUGAUGAAGGUCUUCGGAUCGUAAAACUCUGUUAUUAGGGAAGAACAUAUGUGUAAGUAACUGUGCACAUCUUGACGGUACCUAAUCAGAAAGCCACGGCUAACUACGUGCCAGCAGCCGCGGUAAUACGUAGGUGGCAAGCGUUAUCCGGAAUUAUUGGGCGUAAAGCGCGCGUAGGCGGUUUUUUAAGUCUGAUGUGAAAGCCCACGGCUCAACCGUGGAGGGUCAUUGGAAACUGGAAAACUUGAGUGCAGAAGAGGAAAGUGGAAUUCCAUGUGUAGCGGUGAAAUGCGCAGAGAUAUGGAGGAACACCAGUGGCGAAGGCGACUUUCUGGUCUGUAACUGACGCUGAUGUGCGAAAGCGUGGGGAUCAAACAGGAUUAGAUACCCUGGUAGUCCACGCCGUAAACGAUGAGUGCUAAGUGUUAGGGGGUUUCCGCCCCUUAGUGCUGCAGCUAACGCAUUAAGCACUCCGCCUGGGGAGUACGACCGCAAGGUUGAAACUCAAAGGAAUUGACGGGGACCCGCACAAGCGGUGGAGCAUGUGGUUUAAUUCGAAGCAACGCGAAGAACCUUACCAAAUCUUGACAUCCUUUGACAACUCUAGAGAUAGAGCCUUCCCCUUCGGGGGACAAAGUGACAGGUGGUGCAUGGUUGUCGUCAGCUCGUGUCGUGAGAUGUUGGGUUAAGUCCCGCAACGAGCGCAGCCCUUAAGCUUAGUUGCCAUCAUUAAGUUGGGCACUCUAAGUUGACUGCCGGUGACAAACCGGAGGAAGGUGGGGAUGACGUCAAAUCAUCAUGCCCCUUAUGAUUUGGGCUACACACGUGCUACAAUGGACAAUACAAAGGGCAGCGAAACCGCGAGGUCAAGCAAAUCCCAUAAAGUUGUUCUCAGUUCGGAUUGUAGUCUGCAACUCGACUACAUGAAGCUGGAAUCGCUAGUAAUCGUAGAUCAGCAUGCUACGGUGAAUACGUUCCCGGGUCU